rnacentral:rRNA from 1 species
AGAGUUUGAUCAUGGCUCAGGACGAACGCUGGCGGCGUGCCUAACACAUGCAAGUCGAACGGGGUUACACGAGGUGCUUGCACCAUGUGUAGCCUAGUGGCGGACGGGUGAGUAACGCGUGAGCAACCUGCCUUUCAGAGGGGGAUAACAACGGGAAACCGUUGCUAAUACCGCAUAAUACCGGAUGAUGGCAUCAUUGACCGGUCAAAGGAGCAAUCCGCUGAAAGAUGGGCUCGCGUCCCAUUAGGUAGUUGGUGGGGUAAAGGCCUACCAAGCCGACGAUGGGUAGCCGGACUGAGAGGUUGAUCGGCCACAUUGGAGCUGAGACACGGUCCAAACUCCUACGGGAGGCAGCA